ACUGAUCGGCCACAUUGGGACUGAGACCCGGCCCAAACUCCUACGGGAGGCUGCAGUAGGGAAUCUUCCACAAUGGGCGAAAGCCUGAUGGAGCAACGCCGCGUGUUUGAUGAAGGCUUUCGGGUCGUAAAGCACUGUUGUAUGGGAAGAACAGCUAGAAUAGGAAAUGAUUUUAGUUUGACGGUACCAUACCAGAAAGGGACGGCUAAAUACGUGCCAGCAGCCGCGGUAAUACGUAUGUCCCGAGCGUUAUCCGGAUUUAUUGGGCGUAAAGCGAGCGCAGACGGUUUAUUAAGUCUGAUGUGAAAGCCCGGAGCUCAACUCCGGAAUGGCAUUGGAAACUGGUUAACUUGAGUGCAGUAGAGGUAAGUGGAACUCCAUGUGUAGCGGUGGAAUGCGUAGAUAUAUGGAAGAACACCAGUGGCGAAGGCGGCUUACUGGACUGCAACUGACGUUGAGGCUCGAAAGUGUGGGUAGCAAACAGGAUUAGAUACCCUGGUAGUCCACACCGUAAACGAUGAACACUAGGUGUUAGGAGGUUUCCGCCUCUUAGUGCCGAAGCUAACGCAUUAAGUGUUCCGCCUGGGGAGUACGACCGCAAGGUUGAAACUCAAAGGAAUUGACGGGGACCCGCACAAGCGGUGGAGCAUGUGGUUUAAUUCGAAGCAACGCGAAGAACCUUACCAGGUCUUGACAUCCUUUGAAGCUUUUAGAGAUAGAAGUGUUCUCUUCGGAGACAAAGUGACAGGUGGUGCAUGGUCGUCGUCAGCUCGUGUCGUGAGAUGUUGGGUUAAGUCCCGCAACGAGCGCAACCCUUAUUGUUAGUUGCCAGCAUUCAGAUGGGCACUCUAGCGAGACUGCCGGUGACAAACCGGAGGAAGGCGGGGACGACGUCAGAUCAUCAUGCCCCUUAUGACCUGGGCUACACACGUGCUACAAUGGCGUAUACAACGAGUUGCCAACCCGCGAGGGUGAGCUAAUCUCUUAAAGUACGUCUCAGUUCGGAUUGUAGUCUGCAACUCGACUACAUGAAGUCGGAAUCGCUAGUAAUCGCGGAUCAGCACGCCGCGGUGAAUACGUUCCCGGGUCUUGUACACACCGCCCGUCACACCAUGGGAGUUUGUAAUGCCCAAAGCCGGUGGCCUAACCUUUAGGAAGGAGCCGUCUAAGGC
rnacentral:rRNA from 1 species